AUGUCUUAUAUUUAUUACAGUGGUAAUACAUUGGUUAUUGGGGUUUAAAAAUACCUUAAGUAAUAUAACAAGGUACAAUAAGGUCACUAUAAAGACACAAUUGAAAACCACAGAACUAGUUUGAAUCCCCAUAGAGACAUGACAUACGUGUGUGUGUGUGUGUGUGUGUGUGUACGUUUGGGUGAAGCAGCUGGAAGUAAUCCUGUUUAGGUACCAGCGUAAAGGACUUUUGUUGGGCCCUAACCCUUAUUUGACAGGAAAUCCACACUUCAGCCGUUAACGGGCGGCGGACUUAAAGCCCUCCAGAGAGAGCAGCAGGAGGAAGAAAUGGUUUGAGGUAAAAGCCAGACGCCCGGCCCUCCCUCAUUAAGACGCGUGCAGCUCAUUUCAUUUUUCUUUGGUCCCCUUUUCUCCCUUUGGUCUGUGUGUGUGUGUGUGUGUGUGUGCAGAAUGGUACCAGCAGGUGUAGAGGUGUGUGUGUGUGUGUGUGCUCAGCAGUUCCUUGGCAGCAGGCACGGAGGUGCAUAGCGCACCCGACACACAUCACACCCGAAACGUCAAUCAGUGUCACUGCAAAGAAGGAAUCCAGACGCUCAGAAAAUCUGUCGAAGAGCAAAUUUUUUUUUUGUACCCUUUGAAGUACAGCCCCCCCCAUUGUGCCUCACAAGCAUCAGGUAAAUAAGUUACGGUUUGACAGGUGAUCAUGCAUCAAGGGAGAAGAUGUUGGAAGUGGGAGUUUCUCUUUUCAUAACUGAACAAAGCAUUGGGAAUAUUAACUUCCAUGAUUGAUUUUUUUUACAUUCAAAGCCCCAGGCCUGUUGCUUAAGUAUUAUUCUUUCCGACAAAUCAUUAUUGAGAUCAUGGGAAGUACGGUAGUGCUUUGACAUACGAGCAACUUUAUUUCCAUAGUUUAAGAUGGAGAUGAAGAAGUGUCUUAAACGCUUUAUUUCUAAUGGGCCAAAGCUUCUCGUUUGCCAAAUGAAGUCAGAUUGUAUAGAAGUCUAUGAGAUCAUUAGCCUGUUGUUUGUUAUAUAUGAACAUUUCAAGGAUGAGUUCAGGGUCUCAAUACCCAAUUUGGCUCUCUAACACAUUUGUACCAUUAAGACAAAAAGAGACCCUAAAGCUGGAUGUUAUUACCUUGUGAUUAACCGGUCGCUACAACGGCAUUGUUUGUGAGUUGUGCACGUGUUUGUCACACUUUAACCCUCUUACAUUGUGUUCACAGUUCAUUUCAUAAAAAAACAAGAUGGAGGCAACCGAUACGCCGAACUGAGCGGUGGUGGAAACACGCUAAAGGACACACAGACACAUUUUCUUUGCUUUAUAGUUAGAUAGACGCUCACAGAAACACACACACACACACACACACACACACACCUUUUUGGUGAUCUGCUGAGCUACAUGAAGAGGGGCGGACAGCGCGAGGAGGCGAGGACGACGGCUGGGAGGUUUUGGAGCUCGUCAGCUCCCGAGGCCAGAACACGUGUCACCUCUGAGAUGAAGUCAUAAUAUUGCAACUUUUGAGGUUUUGAUGGUGUUACAUGGACUUACCUCUCAGGUCCCAGGUGUCCGUGCAUCGCCGACACGUGCAGGAUUUUACCCCAAUCGCUCUAAUCACUUUACACCCCAGCUGCCCGACAAAACACUCUCCAUGUCCCCGCUUCCCUCCGCUCCUGCACAUGAAGGAGGCUAAUCACCGGAGGGUGCUUUUUCCUUUGCAGAUGACAGAUGAGGGGUCAGAGGGUUGUCAGACCCCCUUGCUAGUUGCUCCUCGUGCCCACCGAGGGAUGAAACAAGAGGAUGUUCUUGCCUCGGGGAGUGAGAGGGGGAAAAAGAAAGGUUCGGAGAUGGAAGUUGUAUUGACAUAGAUAGAUGACUGCUGGAGAACAAGCGCCGGGGAAGUCGGGUUGGGAAGCAAAUGGGAAGUUGGACCAUGUUGGAGGGAGUUUAAGUUAAAGGAGAAAAAGGUGUCCUGUAGGAAAUAAGAGACUGCGACUGUGAACUGCUGCGGCAAGAGGAAUUAACUAAAGAGAAUCAGAGGUCAGACAAAGCGAUUGUGAGCGGAUUGAAGGAUUGAAUGGCCGCAGGGAAAGAAAAUAAUGAAAUUGAGAAGCGGGGAGGAAAAAGACAGAGAGAGAUAAGGCAUCGCUCGCUGCGCCGAAGCGCCACAGCGAACCGCCGCAAUAAAAGCAGAGCUGCAGUCCAAUGAAUCAAGGCGUUGGGGGCUUUCCUCUCUCUCUCUCUCUCUCUGUUGUGUGUUAUGUCCACUGCUAAUGGUCAGCAGAUGUGGAGGUAUUUCACAAGUGCGGCUUUGGAAAAACAUUCCCGCACAUAAAUCCAAUUAGGCCGGACCCUGCACACGAGCUAGCUGGCCAGCGGUCGAGUGCGCUCGCGACCGCCCAAACGCUCCACAGUUGACUUAAAUAAUCAGAUUUUUCACAGCAGGUAGAGGUAGAUUGUAGACGUUGCAUUUGGUAAAGACUCUUUAAGCUUAAAUAAAACCAAUAUUAUAAUUCAGGAUUUGGGCUAUUUGGGUUUGUCUGGUAUUGAUUGUGUGGUGGGUGAUGAGCUUUCUUUUUUUUUUUUUUUUUAAUAGGUGGUCCGAAGGAGAGGAUUCAUGUGACAAUGGCACAUGCUGCAUUGCAGACCAAAGUUCAAUUGGAAAUUCAUCCUUACUGGCAUCAAAACAUUAAGAUUAAAACAUCAAUGCAUGAAAUCUGUUGUGAGCCUUUAUACCUCGAGGCAGUAAAACUACAACAUCAUCACGGUUCCUCUGGGAGUCGUUCAACAAAAAACAUCAUUUUUCCAGUAAGUCAUUUGUGUAAGAAGCCGUGUUUUGCACAAGAGACUAGUAGUCAGAUGACCUCUGGCUUAGAUCUGUUGCUCCAAUAUGAAUUUCAUUUUAUGGGGUGAGGAAAAUAGCCAUCAGCAUUCAACACAAUGAUGAGAUAACAAUAGUGCUAAAUCUCCCGAAUGUCUUCAUUCUAUGUGGUCUGUCAUGAAUGGUUAACUUAUCUGUUGGGGGGGAGCAGUUUGCUCAACACCCUCCCCCCCACCUUACUAACUGUAGAGACACCUGUCAAGGUAUCCACACUGCAUUGUUUUAACCAUUGUUAAGUACUUUUAACCAUGUUUUUUUUGGCCUGAACUGACGAUUGUAGGUUACAGAUUUCACCCUUUAUACAGUUGAUACCACAAAGGCAAGAAGAGGACUGGAUGCUGCGUUGUGAGUGUGGAACUACGCAAAAACAGCUCGACUUUCUCGUAAUAAAUCACAGUAUCCCUCUGCAUCCAUGGGCCAAGCACGCCAUUGGUCCAUAAGUUCCACAUCCUCCCCGAUGAUGCUUCACGUGGAGAAGAGUUUUUAACGCAGAUAAAAGAGCCAACUGGCAUAUUAGAGAAAAGAAACUCCGGCAAACUGACCACAGUUAACAAGACCCGGACACUAACAUCAUCUCGGCAAUUACGACAGUACAUGUGAUCUGACCUGGAGUCAGCGCCCGGCGGUGACUGCGGCCUACUGUGUCUGGAUCAUGAGCUAUUGUUUCUCGCGUGGCAGCUGCCGCAGGCUUUGUCUGGCACCUCAUCCACCGCUAACUCGCUCCACGUGUGUCCAGAGACGGGGGCCGCAUGCAUUUGGUGGACUUUCUGCGCACUAAAUACACACCACGCCACACGCCACAGGCAGGCACACGCGCACGCUCGCUGAUCCCCCCCCCGGCUUUAGCGGCACAGCGGGUGCGCGGUGGUCUUGUGUGGCUU
ensembl:lncRNA